CAAGGUUAUAGUAACGAAGAGGUAGAAGAGCUCACAAAAAUAAGCUGACAGGAAUUUCAAGCAGAUAGAAACCAUGCUGCAGUUUCUGGGUUCAGCUGCCAUUGUCCAGCUGGUGGUAAACAAGCUCUUUUAUGCCGAGGACCAAAAGAAGACCCUACAACAGACCGAUUACUUUAACAAAAAGGUUGCUCCAAAGGAGCUUGCUGAUGAAAUUAAGGCUGGAAAAAUUCCCCGAUGAGCUCCUUCUGCUGUGCUGACUCAUGUAGGACUUUUGGCCUGCAUGAUCUUCUUGCACAGGUACUUUAUCGACGAUGCGUGCCACUAAAGGUUCCCGUGCGCAUACAAG